rnacentral:rRNA from 1 species
GACGAACGCUGGCGGCGUGCUUAACACAUGCAAGUCGAACGGAAAGGCCCUGCUUUUGUGGGUUGCUCGAGUGGCGAACGGGUGAGUAACACGUGAGUAACCUGCCCUUGACUUUGGGAUAACUUCAGGAAACUGGGGCUAAUACCGGAUAGGAGCUCCUGCUGCAUGGUGGGGGUUGGAAAGUUUCGGCGGUUGGGGCUGGACUCGCGGCUUAUCAGCUUGUUGGUGGGGUAGUGGCUUACCAAGGCUUUGACGGGUAGCCGGCCUGAGAGGGGUACCGGCCACAUUGGGACUGAGAGACGGACCAGACGCCUACGGGAGGCAGCAGUGGGGAAUAUUACACAAUGGGCGGAAGCCUGAUGCAGCAACGCCGCGUGCGGGAUGACGGCCUUCGGGUUGUAAACAGAUUUCGCCUGUGACGAAGCGUGAGUGACGGUAAUGGGUAAAGAAGCACCGGCUAACUACGUG